rnacentral:rRNA from 1 species
GACGAACGCUGGUGGCGUGCUUAACACAUGCAAGUCGAACGGGAUUUAGUAAACAGAAGCCUCGGUGGAAGAUUACUAAUGAGAGUGGCGAACGGGUGAGUAACGCGUGAGCAACCUGCCUAUGACAGUGGGAUAGCCUCGGGAAACCGGGAUUAAUACCGCAUAAAAUCGUAGAAACACAUGUUUUAACGGUCAAAGAUUUAUCGGUCAUAGAUGGGCUCGCGUCUGAUUAGCUAGUUGGUGAGAUAACAGCCCACCAAGGCGACGAUCAGUAGCCGGUCUGAGAGGAUGAACGGCCACAUUGGAACUGAGACACGGUCCAAACUCCUACGGGAGGCAGCAGUGGGGAACAUUGCACAAUGGGGGAAACCCUGAUGCAGCGACGCCGCGUGAACGAAGAAGGUAUUCGUAUCGUAAAGUUCUGUCCUAUGGGAAGAUAAUGACAGUACCAUAGAAGAAAGCUCCGGCUAAAUACGUG